CAUUAUCAUUAAAUCUAGCAUGUACUUUACUUUAAAUAUUAUUUGUUUUGUAAUGUUUAUUCAUAAUAAGCAGGGUGGUUACAUUAAAUUAAGCCAUAACCUAUAUUCUUACCAUUCUUGGUCUGAUAAUUAACUCUUACGUUAACUUGAACUUACUGUCAAAAGAUCAAAGACAAGGUCACAGCAGCUAGUAAUAGAUUAUAAUUUGUGCAAAAUGUUUGGGUUCUGGUAGUUAUCUCUGAACCAAAUUUUGAAUACCAAAUUAAGUUUGAUAAUGGUCCAUUUGAUGAGGAACAAGUCAAUUGAUUUGAGGUGACCAGAUCAAGGUCAAGGUCAAAGUAGUAACUGGUUGACUAGCAUUAGGCCACAAUU
rnacentral:lncRNA from 1 species